rnacentral:rRNA from 1 species
AACGAACGCUGGCGGCAUGCCUAACACAUGCAAGUCGAACGAGACCUUCGGGUCUAGUGGCGCACGGGUGCGUAACGCGUGGGAACCUGCCCUUAGGUUCGGAAUAACUCCCCGAAAGGGGUGCUAAUACCGGAUAAUAUCUUCGGACCAAAGAUUUAUCGCCUUUGGAUGGGCCCGCGUUGGAUUAGCUAGUUGGUAGGGUAAAAGCCUACCAAGGCGACGAUCCAUAGCUGGUCUGAGAGGAUGAUCAGCCACACUGGGACUGAGACACGGCCCAGACUCCUACGGGAGGCAGCAGUGGGGAAUAUUGGACAAUGGGCGAAAGCCUGAUCCAGCAAUGCCGCGUGAGUGAUGAAGGCCUUAGGGUUGUAAAGCUCUUUUACCCGGGAUGAUAAUGACAGUACCGGGAGAAUAAGCUCCGGCUAACUCCGU